CUGAAGAGAGGGGACAGCAGUGCAACUUUGGGGCUAGGGGAUAGCUGGAGAGGGCCAGGGACUAAAAGCCAAGGAUACCAGAGUCAGAAAAUGCCAGGGCUCUCCCCACCCGUUCUAGAAGCCAUUCCUGAGCUGGUUUCAAGGGGUACAAAGAGAGACCAGUAAGAUGGAGGUCCAGAGCAACUACUCUUCUGGCACACUCUCUGUGACAGUCUCAUAUCAUGUAAGCAUAUCGACCUAGCCCUUGGGGUUUUGCUACAAGCUUGGAAGUAUGUGUGAAGGAGUGAGACAGAACUUAAAGCAUGGAGGGCCAGCAGGGCUGCAGCUGCAGCCCAGAAAGGAAGGAAUAGACCCACCCAAUUUCCAGAGCAGCAUCUCACUCAGGAUUGGUGGAGGGAGGCCACUCAAAGGUAUUUCUGGCCCUGGAGAGGGGUAGAGGAGUCAGUUCCCUGCAGGCUGCAGGGAGAGAGGAGUGGCUGAGCAUCCCCGCAGGCAGAAAUUGCAGAGCCUGCCUGAGGAACGCUGUGGGAGUGACCCUGUGGCAGGUGGAGGCCUGCAAACAUGCAGCUCGUGGUAAGCUCUGGAGUGGAGCUGCAGCUGAGGAUCUGGAGCGAAGGAGUCCACAAGGCCUGUGUGAAGGAGUGAGAGCAAAUGUACAGCAUGGAGGACUGGCAGGGCUGCAGCUGCGGCCCGGAAAGGAAGGAAAAUACCCACCCAAUUUCCAGAGCAACAUCUCACUCAGGAUUGGUGGAGAGAGGCCGCUCAAAGGCCAAGACCGGCCCCUGGAAGGGUGUACCCAAAAGAGGCAUUAGGACACCCUGGGGUGCACAGAAGGUUACAACAGGCAGCACUGCAACCUGGCUGUGAAAGAACAUCAUAAAACACCAUCUGCAGAGGAUAGGCUGGGGUAAAGGGGAGGUUUGGAGCCCCACCGAAGACACAGGGAUCAAGACCAGGCAGGAUCACUGUAGGCAUUGCCUCCCAGGAAUAUAAAGGUCAUCAAAGUCGUGGCAGGACAGAAAAACGUAAGAUCCACUGCCUGGCAGACCUGGUGAUCCAGAGCCAAGGUCUACCCUUUCACCACCUGUAGGCAGACGAGCUCAGGGCAGUUCUAGCAAGCCCUAUAAUACCUACAGAUGUCACAGUAUGUUACAGUGCUUUUUCACUCUGUAAUGAGAAUGGAAUCACGUUGCUCUAUAAAGUAAAGACUAUGGUUGUAACUAGACUAUUGCGUUCUCAAAGAUUUAUGGAAAUAUGAGUGUGCAGUGUGUAUAUACAAUGAAGGCUGCAUCUGACUAAUUGUGGGAUAUGUACAAACAUAGCUGGGAGAUUGGGUGGUGAAAUUGUAUGUCCUAGUUUGGAAAAUAUAUAGGCCACUUGUGCUUUUGACAGAUAUUUUAGGAUGUCCCUGGGGGAUGGUCAUAUAAUUCCUAGAAGUACAAAAGAUUGUAAAUAACUUCAGCAGUGAAAGAAUUAUUUUUUAUUUUGGAGCCCAUCUCCAGUUUUUUGGGGGUUUCUUAAUUAUAUGAUUUUUUCCAUAAAACACUUGUUCUGACCUACCUCUGCUAAUAGUAUUGGCCUUUUUUACCGAUUUUAUGUUAACUAGCCCAUAAAGAAUAUUACAAUUUUGCUAAGUACUUUUCCUAAUAAACCUUAUCUUGGUUCAUCUAGUAA